GCAGCGUGCCUCGAGGGCCAAAUGGGGAUCGCGACUGCUGAAUAAAACGCGUAUUGGCACUACGUAACGACGUGUAUUUAACGAGCAGUGCUUGUCAGCGGGCUGUCCCUGAACGGAGGGGUCACUCGUGGCAGUCGUUACUGCUCUCCAUUAGUGACGGGCGGGCGGCCCGCUCGGUUCCAGGCUACGGCACGCGGCCCGCGGUCUGCUGGGCUUCGCUCCGCCUCCGCGCUCUGCCACGUGCAGAGCUGAUGGAAACUUCGCGAAGCACGGAGGAGCCUCUUUAGUGCAUCGGUGCUGCCGGGCGGAGCGGCGGGGUUGGCGUGGUGGCACCGAGGGUUGCCUGAAAGCCCGGCAGUGCUUGCCUCUAGCUCUAGUAAUAUUGCUCAGGUUACUGCUAAACGGCUACAAAUUCAGUAGUGAUUUGUAAGCGCUGUUAGGAAAUGCUCUACUAACAAGUCCUGGACUGAGGGAAUCCGUGCAGAUAAAAGGGGAAGAAUCUGGUUUCCUUUUGCAGCCCACAGCAGUGAGUGCAGGAGGAGGCGGCCGGAGCCCCGAGGAUUGCUGCUCAUUGUGAGAAAACAGUAAAAAAUCUCUGCACAGAGCAUGACAUCCCCACAAUGAACUCUUUGUCAAGCAUGAAGCUGGCCACGUUGCAGCCUGGCACUCCCCCUCUCCACAGUGGGCACCAGCAGCAAAUCCAGA